UGCAAUGAGCGGCAGCACGACGCGCCGGAACGUCGUCAUGGGACGCGCCCCGAGGCUUGCGGAUCCCUCCUCGAUCACAGGAUCGACCUGGCGGAUUGCCGUCGUGCCGGCUUCGACUCCGACGGGCGCAUUCCGGAAGAGGAACAGGAGCACGAUGAUCGCCGCAGUUCCC
rnacentral:misc_RNA from 1 species